rnacentral:rRNA from 1 species
AGUGAACGCUGGCGGUAGGCCUAACACAUGCAAGUCGAACGGCAGCACAGUAAGAGCUUGCUCUUACGGGUGGCGAGUGGCGGACGUGUGAGGAAUACAUCGGAAUCUACUUUUUCGUGGAGGAUAACGUAGGGAAACCUACGCUAAUACCGCAUACCACCUACGGGGGAAAGCAGGGGAUCUUCUGACCUUGCGCGAUUGAAUUAGCCGAUGUCGGAUUAGCUAGUUGGCGGGGUAAAGGCCCACCAAGGCGACGAUCCGUAGCUGGUCUGAGAGGAUGAUCGGCCACACUGGAACUGAGACACGGUCCAGAGUCCUACGGGAGGCAGCAGUGGGGAAUAUGAGGCAAUGGGCGCAAGCAUGAUACAGCCAUCCCGCGUGGGUGAAGAAGGCCUUGGGGUUGUAAAGCCCUUUUGUUGGGAAAGAAAAGCAGCAGGUUAAUACCACGCUGUUCUGACGGUACCCAAAGAAUAAGCACCGGCUAACUUCGUG